UACAGAGGGUGCGAGCGUUAAUCGGAAUUACUGGGCGUAAAGCGCGCGUAGGUGGUUUUGCAAGUCGAGUGUGAAAGCCCCGGGCUCAACCUGGGAACUGCAUUCGAGACUGCAUUACUCGAGUAUGGGAGAGGGCAGUGGAAUUUCGGGUGUAGCGGUGAAAUGCGUAGAUAUCCGAAGGAACAUCAGUGGCGAAAGCGACUGCCUGGCCCAAUACUGACACUCAAGUGCGAAAGCGUGGGGAGCAAACAGG
rnacentral:rRNA from 2 species